GACGAACGCUGGCGGCGUGCUUAACACAUGCAAGUCGAACGAGAGCGUAGAGAAAGCUUGCUUUUUCUACAAUCUAGUGGCAAACGGGUGAGUAACGCGUAAACAACCUGCCCUACGGAUGGGGACAACAGCUGGAAACGGCUGCUAAUACCGAAUACGUUCUGAAAGUCGCAUGACUGUCGGAAGAAAGGAUGGCCUCUAUUUAUAAGCUAUCGCCGGAGGAGGGGUUUGCGUCUGAUUAGCUAGUUGGAGGGGUAACGGCCCACCAAGGCGACGAUCAGUAGCCGGUCUGAGAGGAUGAACGGCCACAUUGGAACUGAGACACGGUCCAGACUCCUACGGGAGGCAGCAGUGGGGAAUCUUCCGCAAUGGGCGAAAGCCUGACGGAGCAACGCCGCGUGAGUGAAGACGGCCUUCGGGUUGUAAAGCUCUGUUAUACGGGACGAAUAGUCUUAUGGUUAAUACCCAUAAGAAGUGACGGUACCGUAAGAGAAAGCCACGGCUAACUACGUGCCAGCAGCCGCGGUAAUACGUAGGUGGCAAGCGUUGUCCGGAAUUAUUGGGCGUAAAGGGCGCGCAGGCGGCUUCUUAAGUCUGUCUUAAAAGUGCGGGGCUUAACCCCGUGAUGGGAUGGAAACUGGGAAGCUCAGAGUAUCGGAGAGGAAAGCGGAAUUCCUAGUGUAGCGGUGAAAUGCGUAGAUAUUAGGAGGAACACCAGUGGCGAAAGCGGCUUUCUG
rnacentral:rRNA from 1 species